CUCUCUCUAAGCACUAACAUCCAAUAGCUACGAAGGCCAUCAGCAGUUUUAAUACCAUUUACCCCAGCUAAUUCCAGGGGUUUUAAACGGACCGUAUCGCUUAACAAGUUAUCAGUUCAUAAAAUCAUGGUUUAAAUCGAUGUCAAAAUACGAAAUUUCGGUGCACUCCUUGCCAAGAUGGCGGAAGCUGGCUUCACUUUUUGGGAUCGAGUUCUUGCUCC
rnacentral:lncRNA from 1 species